UAAUAGUGUAUAUUAAAGUUGUUGCAGUUAAAAAGCUCGUAGUUGAAUGUUGGUGUCGAACGAGCGGUCAGCUUCGGCUGUACUGCUCUCUCGACUCCUUCCUUCUGUGGACUACGUCGCACUUUACUGUGUGGCGCUAGGACGCAGAUCGUUUACUGUGAAAAAAUUAGAGUGUUCAAAGCAGGCCGUACGCUUGAAUACAUUAGCACGGAAUAAUGGAAUAGGACGUCGGGCCUAUUUUGUUGGUUCUAGGACCGUCGUAAUGAUUAAUAGGGACAGUUGGGGCCGUUUAUAUUCCGUAGUCAGAGGUGAAAUUCUUGGAUUUACGGAAGAUAAACUACUGCGAAAGCAUUCGGCAAGGAUGUUUNCGUUAA
rnacentral:rRNA from 1 species